rnacentral:rRNA from 1 species
UACGAAGGGGGCUAGCGUUGUUCGGAUUUACUGGGCGUAAAGCGCACGUAGGCGGAUCGUUAAGUCAGGGGUGAAAUCCUGGAGCUCAACUCCCAGAACUGCCUUUGAUACUGGCGAUCUCGAGUCCGGAAGAGGUGAGUGGAACUCCUAGUGUAGAGGUGGAAUUCGUAGAUAUUAGGAAGAACACCAGUGGCGAAGGCGGCUCACUGGUCCGGUACUGACGCUGAGGUGCGAAAGCGUGGGGAGCAAACA